UCUCCGUAGGUGAACCUGCGGAGGGAUCAUUACCGAGUUCAUGCUCUACCGGGUAGAUCUCCCACCCUAUGUUAUUAUUACUUUGUUGCUUUGGCGGGCCGUUAGGCUCCGGCCCGACUACCGGCCCCGGCUGGGAAGCGCCCGCCAGAGGACCCAAAACCCUGAAUAUUAGUGUCGUCUGAGUACUAUAUAAUAGUUAAAACUUUCAACAACGGAUCUCUUGGUUCUG
rnacentral:misc_RNA from 1 species